ensembl:lncRNA
GUUAAAGUUCGGCAUGCUCUGCUUCGGCGGCCCCAGUCCACUUCCCAGUCGCGGAACCACACCACCCAUCUGUCAUUGCCGUGCUGUGGUGGCAGCUCAGAUAGAAGAACUAGAAUGACCUAUAACUAGGAUAUGCAACCAUGUUCUGGGGGCUUUGGUGAGAAAAAAGAAAAGAGGAAGAUUUGGCAAUAGAUGUUAGCUCAGGGCAAAUCUUUCCCUGCAAAAAAAAAAGAAAGUUAAACAAACUUACCAUGUGGCCCAGCAAUUCUACUCCCAGGUCCCUGUCUAAGAGAAACAAAAACGUACGUCCACACAAAGGUUUGUGAGUCAGUGUUCAUAGCAGCAUUGUUCACGAGAGGCAAAAACUGGAAACCACCUAGAUGCCCAUCAACUGAUUAACAGGCAAAGUGUGGGAAAUCCAUAUGCUGGAACCCCAUUCACCGAUAAAAAGGAACAAACUAAUGGCGGUGCUGCCAUAUGGAUGAAUGGCAGAGAUGCUGAGAUAAGCGAGAGAACCGACACAGAGACCACCUGGUGUGUGAUCGCACGCACGUGAAAUGUCCAGACAAGGCGAACUGACAGGCAGGCCUCCCCUGCAGAAUAACCUUCCUGAGGACAGAUGCUGAGCCUUGACUCUCAGACUCCGGGAGCAAAGUCCACCUCCUGCGGGACGCAAUGACGGCUUGCUGCCUUCACAGAUAAGUGCGAUGGGAAGGCAGAGCCCAGCAGAAGGAGAAUUUGGUUCCAUUCCUGAGGUCUUUGACUGGGACCUACAUGAGUGCGAGAAUAAUGAAAAAGAGAGAGAGAAGGGGGCAAGAGUACACCAGGGUGUUUAAUAGAGUGUGAUCGUAUCCUGUAAAUAAGACAGUGCUGACAAAAGGAAGAAAAGCCCGCCCCUGUGUGAAUGAACUGAGUAAACAGCUUACUCCUUCUGCCAAAAGGUUGGCAAGGAGUAGAAAGUAAGAAGAAGGAAAAUACCAGCAAAUGAGAGCCUUGGUUCGGGAAUGCAAUGUAUCUGGAGAACAAAAUUAUGGCAUAUGAAAGGCGGGGGAGAGGAAGGGAGGGAGGAGGAAAGGAGAAAAAGGGAGAGGGGAGAAAGAGAGAGGUCAGGGAGGGAGGCAGAGAGGAGGAAGGGCAGAAGCAGCCAGACCCUGGAGGGCCGGGCAGGCCAAGAGGACCUGGGCUCCUGGCUGAAUGGGGCAGAGCAAUGACAGGAGAACGUGUGUCAACACGAUAAUAAUAGGCUUCACUUGGGAGUGUGGGGACGAGAUGUUUAUUGGCAUGUGCCACAGGCCACACCACCAGGACACUGGGGACACAAGGUGAACAAGACACACUUCUCCAGACCACACGCGCGCACGCGCACGUGCACACACCGCCCCCCCCACCAUUGUCAAAACACUAAAUUCCAGAAAGUGAUGGAGAGCAGCGCUGUGAGAUUUAAAAACAGAGACUCUGGGCAACCUUUCUCCCACCCUACAGGCCACAUGGCGGCCACCCCCGCCCAGCUGCUGGGAGGAGCCCAGAGCCGUGGGGCUCAGCCCUGGCUCCACACCGGAACCUUCUGGGUUCAAAGUCCUGACCCAUGGGUCCUAUCCCCAGAGCUUCCAGUGUAACUUGCCCAGGGUGGGGCCUGGGCUUGGGGAUUUUUUAAAUCAUCCUGAAAACUCCUGACCUAAAGGAUCGUCUUUCUCAGGAGGCCUGUGUUGCCGAGGGACCUGCACAGACGGGAUAGGUGCCCGACACACGCUCACUGAAUGGCUGACAUAUGCACCGGGCUUCCCUGGAUGGAGCUGGGAGCCCCCCCACCCCCCCACGGCGGUGCUCCCGGAGCGUGGAUGGAGGGGGACACGCACAAUUUUCAAUGUCUGUGCUUCCCAGCAUAGGCUUCCUCACUCCGAGCAGAUAUCACUUUAAAAGUUAAUUAAAAGAAAAUGAUUUGCC